UACGUAGGGUGCAAGCGUUGUCCGGAAUUAUUGGGCGUAAAAGAGCUCGUAGGCGGUCUGUCGCGUCGGCUGUGAAAAACUCGGGGGCUCAACUCCGAGCUUGCAGUCGAUACGGGGCAGGCUAGAGUUCGGCAGGGGGAGACUGGAAUUCCUGGUGUAGCGGUGAAAAUGCGCAGAUAUCAGGAGGAACACCGGUGGCGAAGGCGGGGACUCUGGGGCCGAUACUGACGCUGAGGAGCGAAAAGCGUGGGGGAGCAAACAGG
rnacentral:rRNA from 1 species